GGGGGUGAAGAUGAGUUUGAUUAGAGUGUGGGGAGGAAACAAUCAAAGUGGAAUGCCAUUUGUGGAACUUGUUUUCGCAAAUAGUCACUUUUAGUCCCAGUAAAAUACAAGGUAGAAAUGACACAAUAAGGUAGCUGCUUUUUUAAGAGUUCUGAACCUAGUGUUUUAUUGAUGUUGAUUGAUCUGAAAAAUGGGCUGUGAUGAUGAUUUGCUUUUAUCUGGUGCUAUAAUCUACUGCACUACUUGAAGAAAUUGCACCAAUUAUCCUUCAAAUGGCUGGUCAUUAAUUUUUGCACGGAUUGGCCUUCAAAUGCACUGGUCUUUAAUUUUUGCCCUUCAAAAGGGCUGGUUUUUAACACUGCUUUGAGAAAAUCCGACCCGUAUCUUGGCGGGGCGACCCGGUAAGGCGUCCAUUUGCAGGCCGGUGUUUUGCAGCCAUGGCGUGUGUUGAUUUCUCGUUGCAUGUUUGUAGAACAGCAAAACUUGAGCCCUAAAAGUUUUCCUAUAACACCCAAUUGGGUAAUUACUAGGCUGUGUAAUUUCUAACGUAGUAAUUACACCAGUUCCAUUUACCAGGUGGCUUUCCAAACAGGCCCUAAGUGUUUUAUUGAUGUUGAUUGAUCUGAAAAAUGGGCUGUGAUAAUGAUUUGCUUUUUUUUUUCUGGGCUAUAAUCUACUGCACUGCUUGAAGUAAUCACACGAAUUGUCCUUCAAAUGGCUGGUCUUUAAAUGUUGCCCUUCAAAUGGACAGGUCUCUAACACUGCUUUGAGAAAAUCCGACCUGUAUCUUGGCGGGGCGACACGGUAAGGCAUCCAUCUGCAAAUCGGUGUUUGCAGUCAUGGCCUCUGUCGCUUUCUCUUUGCAUGUUUGUAGAACAGCAAAAUCUGAGCUCUUAAAGUUUUAGCUCAAAACAAUGAGGCAAUCGGAGAAAAAUUGGGAUUUUUUUAGGGUGGUUGACCAUCUCCGUUAUGCCAGUGACUUUAUCUUGGCUCUAAUCAACAGCCCUUUUAGCAUAUGCUUCUGUCUCUCUAUCUGUGACUGCUUUGAUGCUGCGUUUUCAGGCAAAGCAGCAGCAAAAGCAUAGAAAAAUGGAGGUUCUUCCCAGUAUGAAGAAUGGAAAAGGGUCAAAUAUACCCCUCUACUAUGAAGAAUGAGGCCAACUGAGAGAAAAAGGGAAUUAUUGGAGGGUGGUUGGCCCUUCUGAUUGGCCUAUGAUUUCCCCAUAAACAAAAUUAACAACUUGCUUCAGAAGUACUAUUGCUGUCUCUUGUUUUCCCUGAGCUUAUCAAACAUACUCUGAUCUUAUCUUAUGUUUGUUAAAAAAUGCUCGAAAUUGUUGUCCAAACGCCUACUUAUGGGAAAGUUUCCAUCUUUCAAACGAGGCUGUAAUGAUAAUGCUUAUCGCAGAACCCUCACCAUAGUUUAGCCCAGAAAGUAAGAAUGAGACAUCAGAGACAGAUGGGAUUUUCUGUAAAGGGUCGUUGCCCUCUCUCUGCCAUGUCCAUGAUUUCUUCUCCAUUCAUAACAAACCAACAGCCCUUUGAGAAACAGCAAAAUAUCAACAAAUUGAAAAAAAGAGACUAUUUAUGCGUUUGGCCAUCGAUUCCAAAUAUUUAGCUGAUUUUCGCAAAUAUCCACUUUUUAAAGAGUUUGGAACCUAUGACCUGAAAAAAAUGGGCUGUGAUGAUGAAUUUGCUUCUUUCUGGGCUAAUACUCUACUUUACUCACUGCGUUUGAGAAGUUCCGACCCGUAUCUUGGCGGGGCGACCCGGUACGGCAUCCAUUUGCAAACCGGCUUCUGCAGCCAUGGCGAUGUCGAUUUCUCUUUGCAUGUUUGUAGAGCAGCAAUAUCUGAGCCCUAAAAGUUGAAGGACCCAAUUUUUCUGAUCAAAUUUUAGCUCAAAGUUGAGGUAAUUGGAGGAAAAAAGAGGAUCCUUUGAGGUGUUUUUUUUUUUUUCUUCUUUUUUUUGUCUGUGUGUGAUAUAUAUAUAUAUAUGAAUGUGUUGUAUGCCCCUGUAAAAUACAAGGUAGAAAUGACACAACAAAGUAGCUUCUUUUCUAAGAGCCUGUUUGGAUUGGCUUUAUUUUAGGUGCUUUAAAGCCAAAAUAGCUUUUAAGCACUUGAAGAGUUCUGAACCUAAAUGAGGUGCUUUAUUGAUGUUGAUUAAUCUGAAAAAAUGGAAUCUGAUGAUGAUUUGCUUCUUUCGUGGCUUAUCUACUUUAAUGCAUUGAGGAAAUCUGACCCGUAUCUUGGCGGGGUGACCCGGUAAGGCAUCUGUUUGCAAACCGGUGUCUUGCAGCCAUGGCGUGUGUCGGUUUCUCUUUGCAUGUUCAUAUACAGCUCAAAGUUGAGGUAAUCGGAGAAAAGAGAGGAUUUUUUAGGGUGGAGGACCAUUUCCGGUAUGCCUAUGAUUUCAUUUUUGCUCUAAUCAACAGCUCUUUUAGCUCAAAAAUGAAAAAUAGGAAUAUAUAUGCACAUCCUUUUUCUGCUUCUGCAUACUACUACUACAGCUGACUUUCGCAAUUAGUCACUUUUAUGCCCCUGUAAGUUACAAGGUGGAAAUGGCACAAUAAGGUAGCUGGUUUUUUAAGAGUUCUGAACCUAGUGUUUUAUUGAUGUUGAUUGAUCUGAAAAAUGGGCUGUGAUGGUGAUUUGCUUUUUUCUGGGCUAUAGUCUACUGCACUGCUUGAAGAAAUUGCACGAAUUAUCCUUCAUAUGGCUGUUGUUUAAUUUUUGCCCAAAAUUUUGCAUGAUUUGCCCUUCAAGUCGGCUGGUCUUUAACACUGCUUUGAGAAAAUCCGACCCAUAUCUUGGCGGGGCGACCCGGUACGGCAUCCAUGUGCAAUCCUGUGUCUUGCAGCCAUGGCGAUGUCGAUUUCUCUUUGCAUGUUCAUAUACGGUAAAAUCUGAGCCCUAAAAAGUUUACUGGAAGUUUGGAACACCCUAUUGGAUUCUUCAGUUUCAAUUUUUAGCUCAAAGUUGAGGUAAUCCGAGAAAAACGAGAAUUUUUCAGGGUUGUUGACAAUCUCUGGUAUGCUUUUGAUUUCGUUUUUGCUCUAAUCAACAGCUCUUUUAGCUCAAAAAUGAUAAAGGGACUAUAUAUGCUCUUCCUUUUUCUGCUUCUGCAUACUAUUACAGCUGAGUUUCGCAAAUAGUCACUUUUAUGUCCCUCUAAAUACAAAAUGACACAACAAGAUAGCUGCUUUUCUGAGAGUUUGUUUGGAUUGGCUUAUUUUAGGUGCUUUCAUACCAAAAUAGCUUUAAGCACUCUAAAGAUUUCUGAACCUAGAUGAGGGGCUUUAUUGAUGUUGAUUGAUCUGAAAAAAUGGGAUGUGAUGAUGAUUUGCUUCUUUCUUGGCUUAAUCUACUUUAAUGCGUUGAGGAAAUCCGACCCGUAUCUUGGCAGGGCGACCCGGUAAGGCAUCCGUUUUCAAACCGGUGUCUUGCAGCCAUGGCGUGGGUUGAUUUCUCUUUGCAUGCUCCAUCAAUUUUUUGCUCAAAGUUGAGGUAAUCGGAGAAAAAAAGGAUUUUUCUUGGUGGUUGACCAUCCCCGGUAUGGCUAUAUUUUUUUUUUUUUUUUGGCUCUAAUCAACAGCCCUUUGGCGCAAAAAUGAAGAAGAGACUAUAUAUAUGCUUCUUCAUUUUUCUAUUUCUGCAUACUACUACAGCUGAUUUUAGCAAAUAUCCACUUUUAUGUCCCUCUAAAUACAAAAUGACACAACAAAGUAGCUGCUUUUCUAAGAGUUCGUUCGGAUUGGCUUAUUUUAGGUGCUUUUAUGCCAAAAUAGCUUUAAGCACUCUUAAGUGUUCUGAACCUAAGGUGCUUUAUUGAUGUUGAUUGAUCUGAAAAAAUGGGAUGUGAUGAUGAUUUGCUUCUUUCUUGGCUUAAUCUACUUUCAUGCGUUGAGGAAAUCUGACCCGUAUCUUGGCGGGGCGACCCGGUUUGGAAUCCAUUGCAAACCGGUUUCUUGCAGCCAUGGCGAGUGUCGCUUUCUCUUUGCAUGUUCAUAUACAGCUCAAAGUUAAGGUAAUCGGAGAAAAAAGAGGAUUUUUCAGGGUGGUUGACCAUCUCCUGUAAGUCUAUAAUUUCUUUUUUUGCUCUAAUCAACAGCCCUUUUAGCUCAAAAAUGAAAAAGGGACUAUAUAUGCUCUUCCUAAUUUUCUGCUUCUGCAUACUAUUGCAGUUGAUUUUCGCAAAUAGUCAUUUUAUGUCUCUGUAAAUACAAGGUAGAAAUUUCUCUUUGCAUGUUUGUAGAACAGCAAAAUCUGAAGUAUAAGGUAGCUGUUUUUUUAAGAGUUCUGAACCUAAGUGUUUUGUGUUUUAUUGAUGUUGAUUGAUCUGAAAAAUGAGCUGUGAUGAUGAUUUGCUUUUUUUCUGGGCUAUAAUCUACUGCACUGCUUGAAGAAAUUGCACCAAUUGUCCUUCAAAUGGCUGGUCUUUAAUUUUUGCCAAAAGUUUGGCCGGAUUGCCCUUCAAAUGCACUAGUCUUUAAUUUUUGGCCUUCAAAUUGGCUGGUCUUCAACACUGCUUUGAGAAAAUCCUACCGGGGCGACCCGGCAUGACAUCAAUGUGCAUUCCGGUGUGUUGCAGCCAUGGGGAUGUCGAUUUCUCUUUGCAUGUUCAUAUACAGCAAAAUCCAAAAAAUGAGGCAAUCGAAGAAAAAAAGGGAUUUUUUUAGGGUGGUUGACCAUCUUCAUUAUGCCAGUGACUUUAUCUUAGCUCUAAUCAACAGCCCUUUUAGCAUAUGCUUCUGUCUCUCUAUCUGUGACUGCUUUGAUGCUGCAUGGCUGCGUUUUCAGGCAAAGCAGCAGCAAAAGCAUAGAAAAAUGGAGGUUCUGCCCAGUAUGAAGAACGGAAAAGGGCCAAAUAUACCCCUCUACUAUGAAGAAUGAGGCCAACAGAGAGAGAGAAAGGGAAUUCAUGGAGGGUGGUUGCCCCCUCUGAUUGGCCUAUUAAUUCCCCAUAAGCAAAUUAACAACCCUCUUCAGAAGAACUAGUACUAUUUUCUUGUUUUCCCUGAGCUUAGCAAACAUACUCUGAUCUAUCUUAUGUUAGUUAAAAAUUGCUCGAAAUUGUUUUCCAAACAUCUACUUGUGGGAAAGAUUCCAUCUUUCAAAAGAGGCUGUGAUGAUAAUGCUUAUGGCAGAACCCUCACCAUAGUUUAGCCCAGAAAGGAAGAAUGAGACGUCAGAGAGAGAUGGUAUUUUCUGUAAGGGGUGGUUGCCCCCUCUCUGCUAUGUCCAUGAUUUCUUCUCCAUUCAUGAAAAACCAACAGCCCUUUCGGAAGAAAAAAAGAACAAGAUCGUUGAUUUUCAUGUGUGUGUGUAUCUAUAUAUAUAUAUGCUUCUUCCAGUUUCUGCUUCUGCUUCUGCUUCUGCUUCUACUGCUGCAGCUGAUUUCCGCAAAUAGUCACUUUUAUGUCCCUAUAAUAUACAAGGUAGAAAUGACACAAGGUAGCCGCUUUUAAUGGGUCAUUUACAAGAAUGUUGAUUGAUCUGAAAAAAUGGGCUGUGAUGAUGAUUUGCUUCUUUCUGGGCUAUAAUCUACUUCACUGCUUUUAGAGAAUCCGACCUGUAUCUUGGCGGGGCGACCCAGUACCGCAUCCAUUUCCAAGCUGGUGUCUUGCAGCCAUGGCGUGUGUCUCUUUCUCUUUGCUUGUUUGUAGAACAGCAAAAUCUGAGCCCUAAAGUGUACGGCAACCAUUUGAUGGUCUUGAAUUGAUGGUCGUUCUCGGGAACUGAGAUGUUCUUCAGUUUUUCUUGAACACCCAAUUUCGGAUGCAAUUCUUCAUUUACCCUGUGUUAUAAUAUGGACUCUUUUUUUUUUUUUUUUUUUUUUUGAUAAGAUAAAUAAUUUUAUUGACAAUUGGGGAAACUCUGUAUGCAAGCCAUAUACCAGAAGAAGAGAACCUACAUCAAAAUAUGGUUCUCAAGAAAAGAGGUCCAAUCCUCUAUACGUCUGAUAUGGACACUUUGGCAUUUGUAAAUGGACCAUUUCAUUGGCUUGGUUUGUCAGUGAAUGAUUUUGUGGUUUCAUUUAGUAUUUCAAAUGAGUUGUACGGAGAGAUACAGUUGCCAAAGGGAUUGUGCUUGAUUUUAAACGUGGCGUGCAUCAAAAGUGGCGUUUUAGUAUUGGGAGGAAUGCUUUGUGGUUAUUCUACUUAUACUCAUCAGGGAAGGAUACUUUUAAGUUAUGGGUAAUGAAAGACUAUGGUGUCAAGAAAUCUUCAAAUAAUCUGUUCAAUAUACAAGUUACCGGUCUUUAUUCAGCCACACUGAUAUAUAGAUUUCCAGAUGGUCAAGUGCUACUCUGCUGCGUACUUUUGGAACAUUUUGGUUCUGUAUUAAGGCAUCCAAAGUAUCUUUUGAAUUAUGGCCUCAAUGUGUACCAUUCAGAACGAAUUCGUUUAUACAGAAAGCUUGAUCUCUCCAUAAUUACUUACUUGAAAUUGGCUAAAUAUAUAUAGAAUGUUUAGCAAAAUCCUAGCAGUUAAGCCCAGAAAGGAAGAAUGAGACGUCGGAGAGGUGGGAUUUUCUGUAAAGGGUGGUUGCCCCUCUCUGCUGUGUUCAUGAUUUCUCCAUUCGUGAAUCUAACAACCCUUUGAGAAAAGAAAAACUAGAAAAGAAUAAUGAUAAACGAUCUCAACAACACCCCUUGAGUAUUUACCUCUGUAAAUAAGGGGCUAUGCUCUUCCUUUCUCUGCUUCUGCUGCUACCACUGCUAGCUAUGAUAAUUAGCAGCCCUGGUGUCAUUUCUACGUUGAUCUUCACAGAUCACCUGAAAAUGGGCUGUGAUGAUGAUUGCUUCUUUCUGGGCCAUCUAGUUUACUGCUUUGAGAAAAUCUGACCCAUAUCUUGGCGGGGCAAACCUGGUAUGGCAUUUUCUGCAAACCGGUGUCUACAGCCAGGGCGUGUCACUUUCUCUUUGCAUGAUCAUAUACAGCAAAAUCUGAGCCCUAAAGGAGUCUUUUGCACAACAAUGAGAAUUUGCCCUGAAGGAAGAAUGAGGCCAACAGAGAGAAAAGGGAUUUCUUGGAGGGUGGUUGAUCUCUCUGGUUGGCCUAUGAUUUCUCCAAUUAAAAAAAUACGUUUUCCUUCACUAAUGUACCCUGAGCAAAA